GUCAGCUCAGCCCUGGAGCAGGGGAGGGAGUUGAAAGGUUUGGAGAUGGAGCCAUCUGAGAAGAAAUGGCAGAACUUCAGAGCAGGAACAAGAGAGCAGGAGUUCCAAGCCUCUGUCGAUGGAGUUUCUAGCAAAACAGGAUGUUGGUUGCAGGAGCCAGAUGCAAGCCAGGCUCAGAUGACCCCAUGGAGUACCAUCAGGCGACCAAUGGCCAGUUCAAAACUGUAUCGUAAAAGAGCUUCCAGUCCUGAAGCGCAAACUAUGCCAGGGGCCUCCAGGCUAAGUGACAGAAGCAGGCACACAAAGACACAUGGCCUGUGACCUCACUCAUGGGGAAUAUAAUACAGUUUCACCAUAGAAGUAGAAAAAAUGAUUGUGACCAAUAUUUUAAUAAUGAUGAUUCGUGUGGAUGGCCAUUCAUGCUGGGUGUGAUAAUUGACAGCUGUCACUUUACAAAUAAUGUCGAUCAGACGCUCCCUCUGGGCCAUAUUCUGGGCCAGCCACUCUACCUGCCUUGCCUACCUGAUCCUCACAGUGUCCCCAAGAAGCCAACACAACAAACCAGAAAGCACAAUGUCCCUGCUAGCAAGUGCAGGACCUAAGUCUUGAACCCAGACACAGAGACCAACCAAAUCAAAUACACAUGAAAUAUUUACUGGAAUACUGGUAGAAAUCUAGGUGAAGAGGCUGUGGCCUAGAAAUGGGGAGGGUUGGCUUUAAUCCUCAAAACCCAAAGCUGUCCAGAUGCUUCAUUUGACCAUCCACAUUAGAAACUACUCUCCAAUGAAAUAUGCCCCAAACAUUGUCAAAACACAGAAAUCAAUUGGGAGGAAAUGGCAACCCAGUAGAACAGGAGGCACAAGGAGAAACACAGAUGAGGACUAUGCACGGGAGGAGGUCACUGGAACACAGCUGGCAAGCAGAUGAACUCAGGCUCAAAUGAUGUAUUUUAUUUAUUUAUUUUACAAAAACUAAGGAUGUUGAUAAUAUGUGCUGGGAAGGGGAUAGGAAGAUAAGCUUUUUUCAUACACUUUGGAGGCACAUUUAACAUUAUCCUGGAAACUUAAAAAAUGCACGAAUGCUAUGCUGCCUACAAGUCAGAAAUUUAGGUCUUGGUACGUGCCCUGGGAAGCUCCCAGAAGGAAAUUUGUUUCAAUGUUGUGUUAAAUUAUAAGACAUAUACAAUGAAAUGGCCAUUGGCAGGAAGUCUGUGGCCACAGUGAAUAAGGAGGCACGUGCUGACUGCAAGUUCUUAGGACCUGUGGGUGGAAAGAAGACCCUGGACCACAUGUUUCAGCUUGUGGGACACAGACACAGCCCUGAACAUAGGCUGGUCCAGCGGCACUGUGUGUCUCUCCAGAUCCACACAGUGUGGAAACCGCAGCCAUCACUUGGCUUUAGGGACAGUAGCUGAGGUGAUCCUCUUUUCUGAGAGAUAGGGGACCACGGGUGACUCCCUAACAAACAGAUGACCAGAGCCACCUCUGGGGAGAGUCUGGGCCAGGGGGUGAUGGGAGAAGAGGAAUUUGACUUUAGUUUGUGGUGGUUGGAUUUUUUUCCAGGAGAAAAUCUGGUUUCUGCCAUAAUGUUUCCCCUUGGAACUUUGGGCAAGCCCUCACCCCACCCCUUUCCUGCAUCUGCUCUCACGGGCUGAGUUCUGUUCUCCCAGAUUCACAGGUUGACGUCCUGAGCCCAGAGCCUCAGAAUGGGAGCUAUCUGGAGAUAAAGCUUCUACAUCAAAGUGGGGUCACUGGGGAGCCACCCUCGUCCAGGAUGCCUAGAGUCUUUAUAAGAAGAAGGAAUUUGGUCACAUAAGAGACACCAGGAGUGUGUGAGCAGAGCGUGUGACCCUGUGAACAGGUGGCAGGAAGGCGGCCAUUGAUGAGCCAAGGGGAGAGGCCUCGGUGUGAGCCACCCCUGAAGACAGAAAGCUUUUCCUCUGAGAUGAGGAGUAGGAUGAGGAUGGCCACUUGUUAUCCCCAGAGCCCUGGGAGUCCCUGAUGGAGACAUUAGGCAAGGGGAAAAAUCAAAGGCACGGUGCUGGGGCUGGGGCUCAGCAGUAGCGCACUUGCCUGGCAUGCGUGAGGCACUGUGUUGGAUUCUCAGCACCAUAUAAAAAUAAAUAAAUCAAAUAAAGGUCUAUCAAGAACUAAAAAAAAAUUUAAAAAACCAAAAGCACAUAAAUUGGAUAGAACAAAUCAAAUGGUUUUUAAGAUGAUAGGAUCACAUGUCAUCUAAAACUCUAAAGACUACACACAAACACAUGGUUGGUUUUAUGAGAACUAAUAAAGGAAGUUGGCAAAGUAGCAGGAUUCCAAGUGAACACACCAAAAUUGUUUUAGUUAGCUUUUCCUUACUGUGACCAAAAUACCUGACAAGACCGAUUUAGAGGAGGAAAAGUUUAUUUUGGCUGAGGAUUUCAGAGGUUCAGUCCAGGUUGGCCGACUGCAUAGCUCUGGGUUGGGGGCGAGGCAGAACAUCAUGGCAGAAGGGUGUGGAGGUGGAGAGCAGCUGAGGCAUGGCCAACAAUAAGCAAAGAGAACUACGAUAACCAGGGACAAAACAUAAAGCUGAAAGUCAUGACCCCAAGUCCUACUUCCUCCAGCCACACCACACCUGCCUUCAGUUACCACCCAGUUAAUCCACUUCAGUGUAUUAAUCCACUGAUUAGGUUACAACUCUCAUAAUCUAAUCACCUUACCCCUACAUUAUCUCACAUGUGAGCUUUUGGAGGAUGAAACAUAUCCAAACCAUAAUAAAUUCACUGCAUUUCUAUGUACUAAUAAUUAAUCUGAAAAGAAAACUAUAAAAAUAAUACCAUUUGCAAUAACAUCAACAAAGAAUAAAAUAGCACUUUCAAAUUAACCAAGGAAGUGGAAGAUGAUAGUGUAAUGAUAAUGAUAAAGCAUUGUUGAAAGAAAUUAAAGAAGAUAUAAAUUUGUGGAAGCAUCCCUUUUCAUGAAUUGGAAGACUUAAUAUUAUGAUGUCAAUACCACCCCAAAUCUACAAUUCGAUCCCUAAAAAUAUACCAAUGACAGUUUAAAAAAAUUUUUUAGAUGUUGAUGGAACUUUAUUUUAUUCAUUUAUUUAUAUGUGGUGCUGAACCCAGUGCCUCACACAUGCUAGGCAAGUGUUCUACCACUGAGCCACAACCCCAGCCCACCAAUGACAAUUUUUAAAAAUAUUUUUUAAGUUGUCAAUGGACAUUUAUUUAUUUAUAUGUGAUGCUGAGGAAAAAAACCCAAAAAAACAACCCAGUGCCUCACACAUGCUAGGUAAUCACUCUACCACUGAGCUACAACCCCAGCACCCAAUGACAAUUUUUGCAGAAAAAGAAAAACCCAUCCUAAAAUUGUUAUGGAAUAUCAAGGGAAUCCAAGUAGCCAAUCCAAUUAUGAAAACGAGAAACAAUUAGAAGGACUCAAACUCCCUGAUUUCAAAACCUACUACAGAGCUACCACAAGCAAAACAGUGUGGUGUUGACAGAAUGCCAAACAGAGACCAAUGGGACAGAAUAGAAUGCCCAGAAGUAAGCCCUUGUGUGUUUGAUCAAAUGACUCUGGAUAAGGGACACAAGACCUUUCAGUGAGGAAAAGAACAGUCUUUUCAGCAAAUCAUAUUGGGGAAAACUGGACAUACACAUGCAAAAGAAUGAAGUUGAACUCUGACCUAAUACACACCUACAAAAGAAAACAUAGGGCAACAGAUUCUGGACACUGGAGUUGACAGUAAUUUUUUUUUUAUAAGAAGCACAGGCAACUAGAAAAAAAAAUAGAUAUAUUGGACUUCAUGAAAACUGAAGUUUUGUUCAUAAAAAGAUAACAUCAAUACAGUAAACAGACAGUCCAUUGGAUGUGAAAAAUAA
rnacentral:lncRNA from 1 species